rnacentral:rRNA from 1 species
GAUGAACGCUAGCUACAGGCUUAACACAUGCAAGUCGAGGGGCAGCAUGAAAAUGGAGGCGCAGCUCUGCUCUCCUCGUCCGGCGACCGGCGCACGGGUGAGUAACACGUAUCCAACCUGCCGAUGACUCGGGGAUAGCCUUUCGAAAGAAAGAUUAAUACCCGAUGGCAUAGUUCUUCCGCAUGGUAGAACUAUUAAAGAAUUUCGGUCAUCGAUGGGGAUGCGUUCCAUUAGGUUGUUGGCGGGGUAACGGCCCACCAAGCCUUCGAUGGAUAGGGGUUCUGAGAGGAAGGUCCCCCACAUUGGAACUGAGACACGGUCCAAACUCCUACGGGAGGCAGCAGUGAGGAAUAUUGGUCAAUGGACGAGAGUCUGAACCAGCCAAGUAGCGUGAAGGAUGACUGCCCUAUGGGUUGUAAACUUCUUUUAUACGGGAAUAAAGUGAGGCACGUGUGCCUUUUUGUAUGUACCGUAUGAAUAAGGAUCGGCUAACUCCGUGCCAGCAGCCGCGGUAAUACGGAGGAUCCGAGCGUUAUCCGGAUUUAUUGGGUUUAAAGGGAGCGUAGGCGGACGCUUAAGUCAGUUGUGAAAGUUUGCGGCUCAACCGUAAAAUUGCAGUUGAUACUGGGUGUCUUGAGUACAGUAGAGGCAGGCGGAAUUCGUGGUGUAGCGGUGAAAUGCUUAGAUAUCACGAAGAACUCCGAUUGCGAAGGCAGCUUGCUGGACUGUAACUGACGCUGAUGCUCGAAAGUGUGGGUAUCAAACAGGAUUAGAUACCCUGGUAGUCCACACAGUAAACGAUGAAUACUCGCUGUUUGCGAUAUACAGUAAGCGGCCAAGCGAAAGCGUUAAGUAUUCCACCUGGGGAGUACGCCGGCAACGGUGAAACUCAAAGGAAUUGACGGGGGCCCGCACAAGCGGAGGAACAUGUGGUUUAAUUCGAUGAUACGCGAGGAACCUUACCCGGGCUUGAAUUGCAACUGAAUGAUGUGGAGACAUGUCAGCCGCAAGGCAGUUGUGAAGGUGCUGCAUGGUUGUCGUCAGCUCGUGCCGUGAGGUGUCGGCUUAAGUGCCAUAACGAGCGCAACCCUUAUCGAUAGUUACCAUCAGGUUAUGCUGGGGACUCUGUCGAGACUGCCGUCGUAAGAUGUGAGGAAGGUGGGGAUGACGUCAAAUCAGCACGGCCCUUACGUCCGGGGCUACACACGUGUUACAAUGGGGGGUACAGAAGGCAGCUACACGGCGACGUGAUGCUAAUCCCUAAAGCCUCUCUCAGUUCGGAUUGGAGUCUGCAACCCGACUCCAUGAAGCUGGAUUCGCUAGUAAUCGCGCAUCAGCCACGGCGCGGUGAAUACGUUCCCGGGCCU